rnacentral:rRNA from 1 species
AGGGAAUAUUGGACAAUGGGGGAAACCCUGAUCCAGCAAUGCCGCGUGAGUGAAGAAGGCCUUCGGGUUGUAAAACUCUUUCAUCAAUGAUGAUAAUGACAUUAGUUGAAGAAGAAGCUCCGGCUAACUUCGUGCCAGCAGCCGCGGUAAUACGAAGGGGGCUAGCGUUGUUCGGAAUCACUGGGCGUAAAGCGUAUGUAGGCGGAUCAAAAAGUUAGAUGUGAAAUCCCUGGGCUCAACCCAGGAACUGCAUUUAAAACUAGUGAUCUAGAAAUUGGUAAGGGUUAGUAGAAUUUCCAGUGUAGAGGUGAAAUUCGUAGAUAUUGGAAAGAAUACCAGAAGCGAAGGCGACUAACUAGGCCAUUUUUGACGCUGAGAUACGAAAGCGUGGGUAGCAAAC